rnacentral:rRNA from 1 species
CUUGGUCAUUUAGAGGAAGUAAAAGUCGUAACAAGGUCUCCGUUGGUGAACCAGCGGAGGGAUCAUUACCGAGUUUACAACUCCCAAACCCAAUGUGAACCAUACCAAACUGUUGCCUCGGCGGGGUCACGCCCCGGGUGCGUCGCAGCCCCGGAACCAGGCGCCCGCCGGAGGGACCAACCAAACUCUUUUCUGUAGUCCCCUCGCGGACGUUAUUUCUUACAGCUCUGAGCAAAAAUUCAAAAUGAAUCAAAACUUUCAACAACGGAUCUCUUGGUUCUGGCAUCGAUGAAGAACGCAGCGAAAUGCGAUAAGUAAUGUGAAUUGCAGAAUUCAGUGAAUCAUCGAAUCUUUGAACGCACAUUGCGCCCGCCAGUAUUCUGGCGGGCAUGCCUGUCCGAGCGUCAUUUCAACCCUCGAACCCCUCCGGGGGGUCGGCGUUGGGGACCUCGGGAGCCCCUAAGACGGGAUCCCGGCCCCGAAAUACAGUGGCGGUCUCGCCGCAGCCUCUCCUGCGCAGUAGUUUGCACAACUCGCACCGGGAGCGCGGCGCGUCCACGUCCGUAAAACACCCAACUUCUGAAAUGUUGACCUCGGAUCAGGUAGGAAUACCCGCUGAACUUAAGCAUAUCAAUAAGCGGAGGA